AUUGAACGCUGGCGGCAGGCUUAACACAUGCAAGUCGAGCGGAGCGAGGGUGCUUGCACCUUAGCUUAGCGGCGGACGGGUGAGUAAUGCUUAGGAAUCUGCCUAUUAGUGGGGGACAACAUUCCGAAAGGAAUGCUAAUACCGCAUACGCCCUACGGGGGAAAGCAGGGGAUCUUCGGACCUUGCGCUAAUAGAUGAGCCUAAGUCGGAUUAGCGAGUUGGUGGGGUAAAGGCCUACCAAGGCGACGAUCUGUAGCGGGUCUGAGAGGAUGAUCCGCCACACUGGGACUGAGACACGGCCCAGACUCCUACGGGAGGCAGCAGUGGGGAAUAUUGGACAAUGGGCGCAAGCCUGAUCCAGCCAUGCCGCGUGUGUGAAGAAGGCCUUUUGGUUGUAAAGCACUUUAAGCGAGGAGGAGGCUCCUUUAGUUAAUACCUAAAGUGAGUGGACGUUACUCGCAGAAUAAGCACCGGCUAACUACGUGCCAGCCGCCGCCGUAA
rnacentral:rRNA from 1 species